rnacentral:hammerhead_ribozyme from 1 species
AGCCGAAACGCCCAUCCUGGGCGUCCGCCGGGGAUCGCCUCCCGACGCUGAUGAUGGCAGGCGAGA